GGAGCAUCAUUGAUGAGUUUACUAGGUAGUUAUCCUUACACUUUGAUUGCCUAUGAAGAAAAUCCAUGGGGAAAAUUGUCUCUGCGGUGCUU